rnacentral:rRNA from 1 species
AUACGUAGGGUGCAAGCGUUGUCCGGAAUUACUGGGCGUAAAGAGCUCGUAGGUGGUUUGUCGCGUCGUCUGUGAAAUUCCGGGGCUUAACUCCGGGCGUGCAGGCGAUACGGGCAUAACUUGAGUACUGUAGGGGAGACUGGAAUUCCUGGUGUAGCGGUGAAAUGCGCAGAUAUCAGGAGGAACACCGGUGGCGAAGGCGGGUCUCUGGGCAGUAACUGACGCUGAGGAGCGAAAGCAUGGGUAGCGAACAGGAUUAGAUACCCUGGUAGUCCAUGCCGUAAACGGUGGGCGCUAGGUGUAGGGGUCUUCCACGACUUCUGUGCCGUAGCUAACGCAUUAAGCGCCCCGCCUGGGGAGUACGGCCGCAAGGCUAAAACUCAAAGGAAUUGACGGGG